GAUGAACGCUGGCGGCGUGCCUAAUACAUGCAAGUCGAGCGAACAGACGAGGAGCUUGCUCCUCUAACGUUAGCGGCGGACGGGUGAGUAACACGUGGAUAACCUACCUAUAAGACUGGGAUAACUUCGGGAAACCGGAGCUAAUACCGGAUAAUAUAUUGAACCGCAUGGUUCAAUAGUGAAAGACGGUUUUGCUGUCACUUAUAGAUGGAUCCGCGCCGCAUUAGCUAGUUGGUAAGGUAACAGCUUACCAAGGCAACGAUGCGUAGCCGACCUGAGAGGGUGAUCGGCCACACUGGAACUGAGACACGGUCCAGACUCCUACGGGAGGCAGCAGUAGGGAAUCUUCCGCAAUGGGCGAAAGCCUGACGGAGCAACGCCGCGUGAGUGAUGAAGGUCUUCGGAUCGUAAAACUCUGUUAUUAGGGAAGAACAAAUGUGUAAGUAACUAUGCACGUCUUGACGGUACCUAAUCAGAAAGACACGGCUAACUACGUG
rnacentral:rRNA from 1 species